GCGUUUUCGCAGGUCAGAAACCUUCUGAUCGGUGCCGGCUUCGGUGAUUCCCAAGCUUAUAGCGCGGGUUCGAUUCCCGUCAUCCGCUCCA
rnacentral:tRNA from 1 species